UGUAAAAUGGCCGCCGGUGUGUGAGGGGGCAGCGGUGGUGGCAGCAGCGGUAGAGGCAGGACGGGAAGAGUCUUCCCGGCGCUUUGCGGGGUUGCCUCGCCGCCAAGGGUGCUGGGGAACUGCCUCAUCAUUGUAGCCCUGUUGUGGGACUCUGAGCUGGUCUAAGACUACCUAAGGCUAACUUAAGAGUUUCUGGAGAAACGGAGCCUCUCGAAAUCAAAUGCUAAUAUCUAAAUGCUAGGAGGAAUGUGCCAUCAUCUGUGUGAAAAUGAAAUAAGCUGUUAACACUUUUAAGGAAAAUAAGUGUGAUGCAAUUUGAUCAUGUAUAUCAUUAACAAUGUGCAUGUUCAAGGCCUCCAUGACCAAUCUUGACUGUGGAGAUGAGACCAGACUGAGAAUGCCUGAAAACUACCAUGGUAUCUGUAGCAUGGGCUAGAAAAUUGCCUCCGGUCUUUGGUGGUGAGUGAAGUUGCAGUCCUGCUCUGCUGCUUUCAGUGUCAAGAGUCAGUUUGUUCUAACACUGCCGGUUGAAGAUUCUGUAUUUUGUUCCCAUAAAGCUGGUUCAGAUUCUGAAUCCAAA